UAAUUUAAUGGCCGCGGUAUUUUGACCGUGCAAAGGUAGCAUAAUCAUUAGUUCAUUAAUUGUGGACUUGUAUGAAUGGUUGGACGAAAUAUUUACUGUCUCAUGAUUUAAUUUUAUAAUUUAAAUUUUAAGUUAAAAUGCUUAAAUUUUUUUAUAGGACGAGAAGACCCUAUAGAUCUUUAUUAUGUUCUGUUUUGAUUUCUUUUUGUAUUUAUUUUAUUAAUUUAUUAUAUUUUUUUGUUGGGGUGACAUAGGGAAAUAAUUAACUCUUUUUUUUAUUAAUCAUUUAUUUUUGUUUAUUUGACCUUUUAUUAUUGUUAUAAGAUAUAGAUACCUUAGGGAUAACAGCGUAAUAUUUUUUGAGAGUUCAUAUCGACAAAAUAGAUUGCGACCUCGAUGUUGGAUUAAGAUAAUAUUUAGGGGUAGGUUUUUAGAUAUUAAGUCUGUUCGACUUUUAAAUUCUUACAUGAUCUGAGUCA
rnacentral:rRNA from 1 species